AUACGGAGGAUCCGAGCGUUAUCCGGAUUUAUUGGGUUUAAAGGGUGCGCAGGCGGCCAUUUAAGUCAGCGGUUAAAUCGUGGGGCUCAACCCCAUUCUGCCGUUGAUACUGGGUGGCUUGAUUGCGGUCGAGGUUGGCGGAAUUCGUUGUGUAGCGGUGAAAUGCAUAGAUAUGACGAAGAACACCGAUUGCGUAGGCAGCUGACCAGACCGCAAAUGACGCUCAUGCACGAAAGUGCGGGGAUCGAACAAGAUUAGAUACCCUGGUAGUCCGCACAGUAAACGAUGAAUACUUGUUUUCGGCGAUAUAAUGUCGGAGGCAAAGCGAAAGCGAUAAGUAUUCCACCUGGGGAGUACGCCGGCAACGGUGAAACUCAAAGGAAUUGACGGGG
rnacentral:rRNA from 1 species